GUAACAAGGUUUCCGUAGGUGAACCUGCGGAAGGAUCAUUACCUAGAGUGUAGGCUUUGCCUGCUAUCUCUUACCCAUGUCUUUUGAGUACCUUACGUUUCCUCGGUGGGUUCGCCCACCGAUUGGACAAAUUUAAACCCUUUGCAGUUGAAAUCAGCGUCUGAAAAAACUUAAUAGUUACAACUUUCAACAACGGAUCUCUUGGUUCUGGCAUCGAUGAAGAACGCAGCGAAAUGCGAUAAGUAGUGUGAAUUGCAGAAUUCAGUGAAUCAUCGAAUCUUUGAACGCACAUUGCGCCCCUUGGUAUUCCAUGGGGCAUGCCUGUUCGAGCGUCAUUUGUACCUUCAAGCUCUGCUUGGUGUUGGGUGUUUGUCUCCUGUAGACUCGCCUUAAAACAAUUGGCAGCCGGCGUAUUGAUUUCGGAGCGCAGUACAUCUCGCGCUUUGCACUCAUAACGACGACAUCCAAAAGUACAUUUUUACACUCUUGACCUCGGAUCAGGUAGGGAUACCCGCUGAACUUAAGCAUAUCAAUAA
rnacentral:misc_RNA from 1 species